AUUGAACGCUGGCGGCAGGCCUAACACAUGCAAGUCGAGCGGAUGAAGGGAGCUUGCUCCUGGAUUCAGCGGCGGACGGGUGAGUAAUGCCUAGGAAUCUGCCUGGUAGUGGGGGAUAACGUCCGGAAACGGGCGCUAAUACCGCAUACGUCCUGAGGGAGAAAGUGGGGGAUCUUCGGACCUCACGCUAUCAGAUGAGCCUAGGUCGGAUUAGCUAGUUGGUGGGGUAAAGGCCUACCAGGGCGACGAUCCGUAACUGGUCUGAGAGGAUGAUCAGUCACACUGGAACUGAGACACGGUCCAGACUCCUACGGGAGGCAGCAGUGGGGAAUAUUGGACAAUGGGCGAAAGCCUGAUCCAGCAAUGCCGCGUGUGUGAAGAAGGUCUUCGGAUUGUAAAGCACUUUAAGUUGGGAGGAAGGGCAGUAAGUUAAUACCUUGCUGUUUUGACGGUACCAACAGAAUAAGCACCGGCUAACUUCGUG
rnacentral:rRNA from 1 species